UUUUUUGAAUGGAAAGGGUUUAUCCUUAAACAGUGAACUUAGUUUGAACGAUAUGACAGAUUUGAUGGACACGCUUGGCAUCACAGACUUUUUACAGAAGGAGCAAUGUACAACAGUUGGAUGGCUAAAUGAGUGCAAUCAAUCCAUGGCAGUUUUACCAAGUAACAUUGAACCAGUAGGAUGCCACAUCGGGGAUACAUGUAAUGCAGUACACUGUUGCAUAACACUGGAGAAAAUUGGCAGAUCAUUUGGAACUUUCAUUAACAUAGAGCCCUGUCUCUUCAAACUGACUGUUGCAAUUGAACAACUACAGUUCAGUAAAUUGUUGUUUGACUAUGAAUGGGGAUACCCUGUCCAGGUCUGGCUGUUUGGAUUCAUUAGAAUGGAAUUAAGUUUGGUUGAUUUAACAGCAGAAGAACAUUAUCUCAUUGAUUUGACUUUAAGUGUAUGCAUGGAAGCUGACAGUUCUAUACCUUGUGAAUUAUCUAUCCGGAUUUUCAACAAAUAUAAACUGCCUAAACAGAAAUGUAACUGGAAUACAGGUUUCUUUA